UACGGGGGGAGCAAGCGUUGUUCGGAUUUACUGGGCGUAAAGGGCGCGUAGGCGGCCACCGCAAGUCAAUUGUGAAAUCUCCGGGCUUAACUCGGAACGGUCAACUGAUACUGCGGGGCUAGAGUGCGGAAGGGGCAACUGGAAUUCUUGGUGUAGCGGUGAAAUGCGUAGAUAUCAAGAGGAACACCUGCGGCGAAGGCGGGUUGCUGGGCCGACACUGACGCUGAGGCGCGAAAGCUAGGGGAGCGAACGGG
rnacentral:rRNA from 1 species